GAUGAACGCUAGCGACAGGCCUAACACAUGCAAGUCGAGGGGCAGCGGAGAGGUAGCAAUACCUUUGCCGGCGACCGGCGCACGGGUGAGUAACACGUAUGCAAUCCACCUGUAACAGGGGGAUAACCCGGAGAAAUCCGGACUAAUACCCCAUAAUAUCAUAGAAGGCAUCUUUUAUGGUUGAAAAUUCCGAUGGUUAGAGAUGGGCAUGCGUUGUAUUAGCUAGUUGGUGAGGUAACGGCUCACCAAGGCGACGAUACAUAGGGGGACUGAGAGGUUAACCCCCCCACACUGGUACUGAGACACGGACCAGACUCCUACGGGAGGCAGCAGUGAGGAAUAUUGGUCAAAUGGACGCAAGUCUGAACCAGCCAUGCCGCGUGCAGGAUGACGGCUCUAUGAGUUGUAAACUGCUUUUGUACUAGGGUAAACUCACCUACGUGUAGUGACUGAAAGUAUAGUACGAAUAAGGAUCGGCUAACUCCGUGCCAGCAGCC
rnacentral:rRNA from 1 species